GAUGAACGCUAGCGACAGGCUUAACACAUGCAAGUCGAGGGGCAGCACAGGUAGCAAUACCGGGUGGCGACCGGCGCACGGGUGAGUAACGCGUAUGCAACUUACCUAUCAGAGGGGGAUAACCCGGCGAAAGUCGGACUAAUACCGCAUGAAGCAGGGGUCCCGCAUGGGGAUAUUUGCUAAAGAUUCAUCGCUGAUAGAUAGGCAUGCGUUCCAUUAGGCAGUUGGCGGGGUAACGGCCCACCAAACCGACGAUGGAUAGGGGUUCUGAGAGGAAGGUCCCCCACGUUGGUACUGAGACACGGACCAAACUCCUACGGGAGGCAGCAGUGAGGAAUAUUGGUCAAUGGCCGAGAGGCUGAACCAGCCAAGUCGCGUGAGGGAUGAAGGUUCUAUGGAUCGUAAACCUCUUUUAUAAGGGAAUAAAGUGCGGGACGUGUCCCGUUUUGUAUGUACCUUAUGAAUAAGGAUCGGCUAACUCCGUG
rnacentral:rRNA from 1 species